rnacentral:rRNA from 1 species
GAAGAAAGAGGGAGGAGGGAGGAAAAAAGGCAAGUCGAACGGUGAAGCGCCUUCCUUUUUGGUGGGUGUGGAUGAGUGGCGCACGGGUGAGUAACACGUGAGUAACCUGCCCCCUUCUUCUGGAUAACCGCAUGAAAGUGUGGCUAAUACGGGAUAUUCUGGGUCUGUCGCAUGAUGGGUCUGGGAAAGAUAUUGUUUCGGUGGGGGAUGGGCUCGCGGCCUAUCAGCUUGUUGGUGGUGUGAUGGCCUACCAAGGCGGUGACGGGUAGCCGGCCUGAGAGGUGCGACGGUCACACUGGGACUGAGACACGGCCCAGACUCCUACGGGAGGCAGCAGUGGGGAAUAGUGCACAAUGGGCGCAAGCCUGAUGCAGCGACGCCGCGUGAGGGAUGGAGGCCUGCGGGUUGUGCCCCUCUUUCGCCAGUGAAGCAGGCCUGCCUCGUUUGUGGGUGGGUUGACGGUAGCUGGAUAAGAAGCGCCGGCUCCCUACGUC